UUGGGAGCGCUCCCAUAUGGUCGACCUGCAGGCGGCCGCGAAUUCACUAGUGAUUAGAGUUUGAUCCUGGCUCAGAACGAACGCUGGCGGCAUGCCUAACACAUGCAAGUCGAACGAACCCUUCGGGGUUAGUGGCGCACGGGUGCGUAACGCGUGGGAAUCUGCCCUUGGCUUCGGAAUAACAGUUAGAAAUGACUGCUAAUACCGGAUGAUGUCUUCGGACCAAAGAUUUAUCGGCCAGGGAUGAGCCCGCGUAGGAUUAGGUAGUUGGUGGGGUAAAGGCCUACCAAGCCGACGAUCCUUAGCUGGUCUGAGAGGAUGAUCAGCCACACUGGGACUGAGACACGGCCCAGACUCCUACGGGAGGCAGCAGUGGGGAAUAUUGGACAAUGGGCGCAAGCCUGAUCCAGCAAUGCCGCGUGAGUGAUGAAGGCCUUAGGGUCGUAAAGCUCUUUUACCCGGGAUGAUAAUGACAGUACCGGGAGAAUAAGCUCCGGCUAACUCCGUGCCAGCAGCCGCGGUAAUACGAAUCGAAUUCCCGCGGCCG
rnacentral:rRNA from 1 species